CCGUGCUAGACGGGGAGGUAGCGGUGCCCUGUACCUGCAACCCGCUGUAGCAGGGUUGAAUUCCUACCCCCGGCUUUCUUGUUUUAAGGUCUGACCCUGGCAAGUGGCGUUGAUGACUGGGUCCCGUGCGGCGUAAGCUUGUGAACCCCGUCAGGUCCGGAAGGAAGCAGCGGUAAGCAAAUCCUUACGGGUGCCACGGGGGAGCCUGGUCUGAGCAAACUACCGGGGUAACGCUUGAAAGAAGGAGUCAAAGGUAGGUGCACGG
rnacentral:SRP_RNA from 1 species